rnacentral:rRNA from 1 species
GACGAACGCUAGCGGCAGGCCUAAUACAUGCAAGUCGAACGGUAAGGUCCCUUCGGGGAAACACGAGUGGCGGACGGGUGCGUAACGCGUAUGCGACCUACCCUGAAGUGGGGGAUAGCCAGUGGAAACGCUGAAUAAUCCCGCAUGUGAUCCCGGUAACGCCUGUUAUUAAGUAUAAAGCUCCGGCGCUCAGGGAUGGGUAUGCGUGACAUUAGUUAGAUGGCGAGGUAACGGCUCACCAUGACAAUGAUGUCUAGCUGGUCUGAGAGGAUGAUCAGCCACACGGGCACUGAGACACGGGCCCGACUCCUACGGGAGGCAGCAGUAAGGAAUAUUGGUCAAUGGGGGCAACCCUGAACCAGCCAUGCCGCGUGCAGGAAGAAGGCCCUCUGGGUCGUAAACUGCUUUUAACAGGGGAUAAAGGGGUGUUAUAUACACCUUUGCAGGUACCUGGGGAAUAAGCACCGGCUAACUACGUGCCAGCAGCCGCGGUAAUACGUAGGGUGCAAGCGUUGUCCGGAUUUAUUGGGUUUAAAGGGUGCGCAGGCGGUUUAUUAAGUUAGUGGUGAAAUCGUCCCGCUUAACGGGAUACCCGCCAUUGAUACUGGUAGACUUGAGUGUGUCUGAGGGAGUUGGAAUGCGUGGUGUAGCGGUGAAAUGCAUAGAUAUCACGCAGAACACCAAUUGCGAAGGCAGACUUCUAGGACACAACUGACGCUGAGGCACGAAAGCGUGGGGAGCGAACAGGAUUAGAUACCCUGGUAGUCCACGCUGUAAACGAUGGUUACUAGGUGUUCGGCUCAAUAUGAGUUGAGUGCCUAAGCGAAAGCGAUAAGUAUCCCACCUGGGGAGUACGUCCGCAAGGAUGAAACUCAAAGGAAUUGACGGGGGCCCGCACAAGCGGUGGAGCAUGUGGUUUAAUUCGAUGAUACGCGAGGAACCUUACCUGGGCUAGAAUGCCUCUGCACAUUCCUGAAAGGGGAUUUUCCUACGGGACAGAGUGCAAGGUGCUGCAUGGUUGUCGUCAGCUCGUGCCGUGAGGUGUUGGGUUAAGUCCCGCAACGAGCGCAACCCCUAUUGUUAGUUGCCAGCACGUAAUGGUGGGGACUCUAACAAGACUGCCUCCGCAAGGAGUGAGGAAGGCGGGGACGACGUCAAAUCAUCAUGGCCCUUACGUCCAGGGCGACACACGUGCUACAAUGGUCAGUACAGCGGGUAGCGAACUUGCGAAAGUGAGCCAAUCCCAAAAAGCUGAUCUCAGUUCGGAUUGGAGUCUGCAACUCGACUCCAUGAAGUUGGAAUCGCUAGUAAUCGCGGAUCAGCCAUGCCGCGGUGAAUACGUUCCCGGGCCUUGUACACACCGCCCGUCAAGCCAGCCGAAUUGAGUGCUCCCUAAGACGCUGCUCCAACCCUUCGGGGAGGAAGGUGUCCAAGGAGUGCUUGGUAAGGGGGACU